rnacentral:lncRNA from 1 species
UUUAUUUUCAUUUCAGAAAUACCAGGAUUUUUUUUCUCUUCAUCUGUCACAUACUCAAUAUAUUAAUAUCAUUACUUUAUAAGCAUAAAUUUACAAAUAUUAUAUGUUCUCCUUUUUUCCUUAUUUAACUUCCAAUGCUAAAUUCUUUUUAUUGAUUUGGGAAAGAUAUGAACACUUCAGGAACAUGAAUACAUAUACAAUUUCUCCAUAGGUUUUUGUCAAGGUGGGAGAGCCUCCCUCAGUUCUUCUAUUGAGAAAACUGAUGUCACACUGGGCAGGUGACAAUGCUAAUCUCAGAACUCUAGAGGUGUGGCUGGAAGGAUCAGGAGUUCAGCACCAGCCAGAGUCACCUAGAGAGACUGUAUCUUAAAUAAAUAAAUAAUUGGAAAAAAUGAUCUCACAACUAUAUUGUCAGUCCAACAAGAUUACUCCCUACUUGCUCUACAUUUCCCCCAUACAGAAGCCUUUAUGUAUACUUUAUUUCUCUGCCUAGGGAGAGUCAGGAAGACCCGGACGACCUGGAGAGCGUGGACUGCCUGGACCUCCAGGUAUCAAAGGCCCAGCUGGUAUCCCUGGAUUCCCGGGUAUGAAAGGACACA